ensembl:lncRNA
UGAGGUUGUGAGGCCGGUUGGACAUACUGCCAAAUUCUCAAAAAAUUGUUGUAAGCCGCUUCUGGUAGAGAAAUUAACACCCAGUUCUCUGGCAACAUCUCUGGUGGACAUUCCUGCAGUCAGCUUGCCAGUUGCACGCUCCCUCAAAACUUGAGACAUCUGUGGCAUUGUGUUGUGUGACAAAACUGCACAUUUUAAAUAGGGAAUUUUAUUGUCCCCAGCACAAGGUGCACCUGUGUAUUGAUCAUGCUGUUUAAUCAGCUUCUUGAUAUGCCAUACCUGUCAGGUGGAUGGAUUAUCUUGGCAAAGGAGAAAUGCUCACUAAACAGGGAUGGAAACAAAUUUGGGCAGAAAAUGUUAAGAGAGAAAAAAAGCUUUUUGUGCGAAUGGAACAUUUCUGGGAUCGUUUAUUUCAGCUCAUUAAACAUGGGACCAACACGUUGCAUACAUUUUUUUGUUCAGUAUAAAAUGGAAGUGAUCAUCAGCAGACCCUUCCAUGCUCAAUUUACCUCAAUGAUCAGGUGGUGGCGGCCAGCAGUCCCUGUUGAUCGUUUGAUAUAUCUCCGUCUCUGUGACUAGGGUACCCAUUUGGGACUCAACCCUCAACCCCCCUUCCUAUUUAGCUCUGUAGUCCACUACACUGAGACCAGGAGACUUCUUUGUUGGUCUAAGUCUGUGUGUGUGUGGAGAGAUGCUGUGAAGGGCUUGGAUGGACUGAGGUUGUCAUUGGGGACUGAAUGUCCUCAUACAUACACUGCAUCCAAAAUUGCACCCUUUUCCUUAUGUGGUGCAAUACUUUUGACUAUAGCCCUAUGGGCCCUGUUGAAAAGUAGUACACUAUAUAUAGGAAAGAGGGUGUCAUUUAGAACACACCCUGCCAUUGUGAUGUCACUGAUCCUCAGCAGCUAGUGAGGGGAAGCCAUUUAGAACACAGCCCUGACAUUGUGAUGUCACUGAGCCUCAGCAGCUAGUGAGGGGAAGCCAUUUAGAACACAACCUGCCAUUGUGAUGUCACUGAGCCUCAGCAGCUAGAGAGGGGAAGCCAUUUAGAACACAACCUGCCAUUGUGAUGUCACUGAGCCUCAGCAGCUAGUGAGGGGAAGCCAUUUAGAACACAACCUGCCAUUGUGAUGUCACUGAGCCUCAGCAGCUAGUGAGGGGAAGCCAUUUAGAACACAACCUGCCAUUGUGAUGUCACUGAGCCUCAGCAGCUAGUGAGGGGAAGCCAUUUAGAACACAACCUGCCAUUGUGAUGUCACUGAGCCUCAGCAGCUAGUGAAGCCAUUGAUUUAGUCACAGGCUGUGAGUGAGUCAGGCAGUACUACGUGGGGAAAAUAACCAGAGGGAGGGUAGGGUUAGUAAGUUCUCAUAGAUAACGCGAUAACGUGGAGAUAGUAGAAGAUAGGGUGCUAUUUGGGAUGCAAGCAGUCAAAGUACACUACUUGUGACCACAGGGCUCUGGUUAAAUGUAGUGUACUAUGUAGGGAAUAGGGUGCCAUUUGGGAUAGAGCCUUUAUCUGGGUCAAUGUUUAGGGUCAUUCCAUUCCAGCUGACCAUGAUCAUCCUGUAUGUCCAACACUCAGGCUUCUAAAAUAUACCAUCCUGUAUGUCCAACACUCAGGCUUCUAAAAUAUACUGUGAAGUUACUUAACACCACUAUGCCACUGCUUUCCAUGUGACACGUGUAACGUUCCCAAAGCUCAGCUCUGCCACUGUACAUACUGUAGUUGAUAAAUCGCUUUUUGAAAAAGACAGCAAGGAUCUUUGUUACAAAACAUCACUCAUAUCAGGUCCCCAGUCAAUCAGUAACUAACAGCGGAGGGUCAAGAUGAACCAACUUGUCCCUGAAUGUAAAUGUGUCAUUUAGCUUGGUGCAGUAGUUGCAAAUAUUAACACAAGUACACAAAUGAACCUUGAUCCUUAGUGAUUUGCUAAAUAUUUCAAUGAGCAUCUUAAAAAUACUAAUAAUUUUUAACUUGUUGCCAGUUAGUUUUUAAAAAUGUAAUAAAUAACACUGAACAAGCAUGGUACAGUGAUAAAUAUCAAUUCAUACACUGACCUUAUCUGGAUGACGAAAUAGAGUGUAAUGCGCUUGUUAACGGUGGGGGGAGUAUUUCAUAGUCCCUGGUCUGCCCUGGUCUGAAGAUAGUCUAGUACCUUGUUCCAUAACCUGGUCUCAGAUCAUUUCCUAGUAUUCUAUAUGUAAAUCCGAGACACUCCAUUUGGUAUGAUAUGUUAUGUUUCGUAUGUAUUCAUUUUGUAUGUUACGAAUUUGCCAAACGUACAAUAUUGUAACAAAUUUGUAAAACGUAUGAUAUGUUACGAAUUCUAGUUAGAUGGCUGACAGUUAGUUUAGGAGUUACGUUAAAGGGGAAGGGUUAGCUAACAUGUUAAGAUUAGAGCUUCUACACCUGCAUUGCUUGCUGUUUGGGGCUUUAGGCUGGGUUUCUGUACAGCACUUUGAGAUAUCAGCUGAUGUACGAAGGGCUAUAUAAAUACAUUUGAUUUUAUAAAUAAAUUAGAUUUUUUGAUUUGAUUUUAGAGGAAGGGUUAGCUAACAUGUUAAGUAGUUGCAAAGUCGCAAUGGUUCCAAGACGUUUGCUUUAUACGCCCAAACAACCACCCCAUACGCCCACCCGUCCACCCCAUACGCCCACCAGACUCCAGUUAGUUCACAGAGUAGGGCUUUGUUAGCCUAUACUCAGAUUAGUUUGUAUAUCCAACUCUUAUGGUCAUUGUCAUGUCAAACACUAUUUAGGAUUUGGCUAGACAGUAGAAACAGAUCUGGGGCCAGGCUAAGAAUUGGUAGGUCUAUGGAAGACUUCCUGUAUAAAUCCAUGGUUGCAUAAGGUGUCUAUGUAAAGUAGAGCCAACAGAUGAACAGAAACCAAAGCUUUUGAUGUUGGUAAAACCCGCUUCAUGAUUGCAUAACACCUCCACUAACCUCAUCCCCAAGCUCAGUGACUAGAGACGACACCUCAUCCCCAGGCUCAGUGACUAGAGACGACACCUCGUCCCCCAGGCUCGGUGACUAGAGACAACACCUCAUCCCCAGGCUCAG